CGGGGACAUCGGCAGGCUCCCCGCUGCAGCAGACGCUCGCGCGUCCAAGCUCUGC
rnacentral:ncRNA from 1 species